rnacentral:lncRNA from 1 species
AUGCAAAAACCUGCAGGUCCUCAUGACUGUGUGUCAAAGUCAGUAACGUGUUUUAAAAAAUAUCCUAGUAAAUUUGGAUAUAUAACAUUAAUAAAAUGUGACUUUUUUUUUAUGACAAGACAAGGCUAUUGUGACGGGACGAGCCAACGACAGACACAGUGGGCGUGGCGUCAGGCCUCGGAGAGGUUUUUAUUUAACAGAAAAACCAAACAAGGGGGAAUAAAGUGUCCAAAAGGGGAAGAGUGUCCAAAACAACAGGGAAUCUGGUGUCCUCGUCGUGCUGCGGGGUUCGUGGGGGUCUGGCAGUGUUCAUGGAGGAAGGGUCCAGGUAAGGGGCGGAGUCCGGCGGCCGCACGCGCUCCCCUCUUCGGUCCGGCGGCUUCUUCUAGCGGCUUUAUCCUCCUCGCUGGCCGCGGCGCUUGCAGGGGAUGGACGGCCCGGCAUCCUGGCCCGACGGCCGUGUAGACGGGUGCGGUUCUCGACCGGACCGCGGGUCCGGCAGCUCACGUCUCUGGUGGCGCGGGAGUCCCUCAACGCACCCUUCCUGGACCCACGAGGACACCAGUGUGCAUGCACGGGGAAGAGACCGGUCUCCCGAGGAGAGGCGCGUUGGGCUUUUAAACAGCGGCGGUGAUGAGGCUCCAUUUCCUUCAGGUGUGCCCCAUCACACGCCGCCAGCCCUGACUCGUCCAGCGCCCCUCCUCUCUCCCACACCCACUCCUAUCGGGAGCCUGGUGAAGGGCGGCGAUUUAGGACGGGGUGCCGGUGAUUAUCAGGGAGGAGGCAGCUGACUCGUCACACUAUCUACAAGUUAAGGAUAUUUACUAAUUUAUUAUAUUUGUCAUUAAAUAUUUUGAAAAAUAUGUUUGAAAAUGGUUAAUAUGUGUACUCGCAUAUAUUCAAGGAAUAAGAAAAAUACAUUACAUUUUUACAGUCUUUUAAUUUGAGAUUUUCUUAAAAACAUUUUUUUAAAGUUUUUCAGAAAUUAAUAGUACAAAGAAUACAUUUCUAAAAACUUGGCAAACGUGUUUUAAUCUAGAUUUUUUUUUGAAGAAUUAGCUUUUUCUGUAUAGUGAUAUUCAUCACUCUUAUUUAUCAUUGAUCCAUGUCCGAAUAUGCAGUAUUCAUGUACUUUAGGUGAACAAUAUCUGGAUGACCUACUAUAUAUGUUGAGGUUCUCAUGUGUGGGACCAUAGUCCACAGUCUCCUCACUCACUUGUUUUGUCCUGACUGACAGAAGGUGAAGCCGUCUCUGAGUCGAGGACGAGAGCCGCUCUGUGUUUGCAUGUGCUGUCUGAGAAUGUGUAGGAUUUCCAUUGUUGCAAUUCUUGGAAAACCCCAUCUUAUACACCCCCACCCCUCACCUCUUCACCUCACUCGAAAGGAAAAGAAAAAAAAAAAAAACGGGCAUGGAUAAUGGCACUCGUACAAUCAAUCUGUUCCUUCAGUCACUGGGAGUGUGAUUGUUCUUGACAGCAGGGUGUCUGUUGUUGAUGAUUAAUGCCACGGCUCCGCUGUUUUGGACCCUGUAGACAUUGUCAGUUUCAGGGCAUUAAUUGACCAUUCGCAAAGACCCGCCUCCCUUAGUUACUGUUGCUACUUCCAACAAGGCAUGGCACUCAAACAACACAUCAUGUUCUUACACAGUGAAAAAUACAUUGCAGAGCAAAGAGGACACUAACAAUGUACCGACAGACAAGACAGAGCAGGUUACUUCUGGUAUGAAACAAAGUCUCAGCUUUCAAAUUUAGUCAUUUUUUUUAGAAUUCAAACAAUAAAUAUGGUUUUGUGGCUCUUCCGUGUGUUGUGACAGAUCGCUGUAGCACUUCAUUUCUAAG